rnacentral:rRNA from 1 species
CGCUGGCGGCAUGCUUACACAUGCAAGUCGCACGGACCCUUCGGGGUGAGUGGCGGACGGGUGAGUAUCGCGUAGGGAUCUAUCCACGGGUGGGGGAUAACAUCGGGAAACUGGUGCUAAUACCGCAUGAUACCUGAGGGUCAAAGGCGCAAGUCGCCUGUGGAGGAGCCUGCGUUCGAUUAGCUUGUUGGUGGGGUAAAGGCCUACCAAGGCGAUGAUCGAUAGCUGGUCUGAGAGGAUGAUCAGCCACACUGGGACUGAGACACGGCCCAGACUCCUACGGGAGGCAGCAGUGGGGAAUAUUGGACAAUGGGCGAAAGCCUGAUCCAGCAAUGCCGCGUGUGUGAAGAAGGUCUUCGGAUUGUAAAGCACUUUCGACGGGGACGAUGAUGACGGUACCCGUAGAAGAAGCCCCGGCUAACUUCGUGCCAGCAGCCGCGGUAAUACGAAGGGGGCUAGCGUUGCUCGGAAUGACUGGGCGUAAAGGGCGCGUAGGCGGUUUACACAGUCAGAUGUGAAAUUCCAGGGCUUAACCUUGGGGCUGCAUUUGAUACGUGUAGACUAGAGUGUGAGAGA